rnacentral:rRNA from 1 species
UACGGGGGGGAGCAAGCGUUUGUUCGGAUUUACUGGGCGUAAAGGGCGCGUAGGCGGUCAGCACAAGUCAGUUGUGAAAUCUCCGGGCUUAACUCGGAAAGGUCAACUGAUACUGUGCGACUAGAGUGCAGAAGGGGCAACUGGAAUUCUCGGUGUAGCGGUGAAAUGCGUAGAUAUCGAGAGGAACACCUGCGGCGAAGGCGGGUUGCUGGGCUGACACUGACGCUGAUGCGCGAAAGCCAGGGGAGCGAACGGGG